rnacentral:rRNA from 1 species
UACGUAGGGUGCAAGCGUUGUCCGGAAUUAUUGGGCGUAAAGAGCUCGUAGGCGGUCUGUUGCGUCGGCUGUGAAAACCCGAGGCUCAACCUCGGGCCUGCAGCCGAUACGGGCAGACUAGAGUUCGGCAGGGGAGACUGGAAUUCCUGGUGUAGCGGUGAAAUGCGCAGAUAUCGGGAAGAACACCCGUGGCGAAGGCGGUUCUCUGGGACGGUACUGACGCUGAGACGCGAAAGCGUGGGGAGCGAACAGG